AAGCUGUCUGGCGCCAGCUGAUCCUAAAUCCUUUGUUUUUAUUCUUGACUCCCAGAUUUUCAAUACAACCGCGGCCGCAGCCCAACAUUUACCCCGCUCUUGGAGCGCAGCACUAUUUUAAUGGAUGGCUCCACAUCGGCUCCCAUUGGAAGCAGCUGGUAGUGGCGUAUCACUUUGGUCACCAUGGUUUUCAUCUCCAGCAGAGCAAACUUUUGACCAAUGCAGUUCCUCGGCCCAGCGGAGAAAGGUAUGUAGCUGUAGGGACUCAGUCUGGGUGCCUCUUCUCCUAGAUGCCUCUCCGGCUGGAAGACCAGUGGAUCGGUGAAGAUCGCUUCAUCCCGGAGGAGCUGCCAGAGAAGUACGACCACGUUGGUUCCCACAGGGAUGUAGCCCUCAUCUGGUGUAGAUUGACGUAGAUUGACUUAGGCAGCGUGCGACGGCCGGAAUAGGCGGAUAAAGACGCAGGGACUCUUUGACCACGCAGCUUAGAUACGGUAACGUCGCGAAAUCCGAGAGAAUAACGCCUCUGAAUAAAUCCUGGCCGUAGUGCAUCCUCAGUUCCUCAAAAAGCUUUUGUUGCACUGCCUCAUGGCGGGAAAGCAGAUACAAACAGAAGGAAACCGCUGAAGUCGUCGUAUCGUGACCCUCAAAGAUGAAAGUGUUCACUUCAUCGCGAAUUUGCUUGUCAGUCAAUGGUUGCCCAUCCACAGUUGCCCGCAGGAGCGUGUCCAGCAGGGCGUGGGGCUUUGUUGGCUUAUCUUGAUUAGCCUCCCUGGCCAGUAAACGGCGUCGCUGCUCUAUAAUUCCGUUGGUAAACUCAUGGAGGCAGAUGACUCCUGCCUGUUGCUUUCUGAAUCCGCUGGGCCAGCACAGGCGAAAGAGGUGGGGAAAGAGGAGAUGCGGCCUCAUGAACCUGGUGGCCAAGAUGUUGGUUAGACUAAAGAAAGAUAAACGCGUGCACCACCUCAGAGUCAGCUCCUUGAGCGUCCACGUUCACGCCCAUAGCAGUUUCGGUGAUUAUGUCUAGGGCAGCCAAGCCCACCAAGGGAUAGAUGUUCACGACCUCGUUGCCGUACGACAGCGUUCUCAAACGCUCCACUAAUAUGCUGCUCUGCCUAUCGAAGACCUCGACAAACUGCUCCAGGAUGCUAAAGUGAAACGUGGGCGUGAUGAUUUUGCGCAUCGUGUGCCACUCCUUUCCACGACUCAGCAGCAGUCCAUCGCCCAGCCAACCGCGUAAGGCAAAGUACAUCGUGCCCUUCUUCAACUGAUGCUGACCCUGCAGCAGUGCAUCGAUAUGUCGGGGCUCCGCUGUAACCAUAACCACAUGGCCUAAGACAGUGCCCAUGAAACUGCGACCAAAACGCUUAACAUACUCGGCGAACUUAUCAUGCAAGUCUGGAAUUUAAUAGAGUAAAUAUCAAAUAUUGAAGAGUUCAAACGGGAACUUACUGUCUGGCUGAAAACUCCGCAUCUGCCAGGCGGCUCCUAGUAGAGGAACUCUCGAAACACUUGGCACAACGCCUUGCAAAGGAUGUCGAAGCUCCUUUAGCGCCAAACGGAACAGCGAGGCCACUAGGCGAGUCACCAGGAGGGCCACCAACAAAACCACCAACAUGUUGAAGCUUUGCUGCGUAUCUUAAGGAGCACUUGGGCUCUCGAGUAGCUGGCAAUCUUAUCUGGAGCACUACAAAUGUGUCGCCUAUCUAUAUACAGGCACUUCGGAUUUAUUGCUCGUAGCUAAACUUUAUAUAAGCAAAACCUUUCGAAUAGUGCACCACUUCGAAAGAGAAACAGUGCGGGACCACUAAGGUGAGCAGGACGGAAAAUCCGAGGAAAACAACUAGCCAGCUGUUUUUCAGCAAGAACAGCUGAUGGAAUCAACCAAAACACAAAACAUAUGUACCUAUGGUCAUUCAUAUGCACAUAGCUGGAUAGACCCACAAGAAUGAAUUCCUUAGGCGCGCGGUUUCAGGCCAAGAUGAACGCCGUUGGCCGACCGCAGGACGAUGUUCAUCGAGUGGCGGGGCUCAGGACCCAAGGGCAGCAGCUCGAAGUGCCGGAGCAGCUUGCUGACGGUGCUCUUCAUUUCCAGCAUGGCAAACUUCUGGCCGAUACAGUUUCUUGGUCCAGCGGAGAAAGGAAUGUACGCAUACGGAUGAAUCUGCGGGACAUCCGCAUCGAAUCUUUCAGGUCGGAACUCAUCGGGAGACUCGAAGUACUCAGGAUCACGAAGAAGAACAAAGAUGCCCAUCGUAAAGUUGGUGCCUGCUGGAAUAUGCUUGCCACCUGACAAGAGCAAUAUGUUUACCUGAGAUUGAAGAAUCUCAUAUGGAACUUCUUACGUAUUUCCACAUCCUCGGCGAACCAGCGACCGAUCAUGGGCACUGGCGGGUGCAGGCGCAGCGACUCCUUAAUUACGUUCUCCAUAAACUUCAGCUCACCAAGAUCACGAAGGGUAACUGGGCUCUUUCGAUCCUCGCCGAGGACGUCGCGGAUCUCCUGCUGCAGACGCUGUUGGACCUCCGGAUGCCUUGAGAUUUCAUAUAAACAGAAUGAAAUCGCCGAGGUAGUCGUGUCAUGGCCCUCGAACAUAAACGUGUCAACCUCUUCGCGGAUAUCCUCAUCGCUCAACGGGGCGCCAUCGAUUGUGGACUGCAGCAGCACAUCCAGCAGAGCCAUCCGUCGCUUUUGGCCCAAGAAAUUAACUUCCUCUUCUGGGGUUGUUUCCUUCGAGUUGUUAACCAGCGUUUCACGCCGCUCACGGAUAAUGUUCUCGGUAAAGUCGUGCAUUACCUUGAUAGCUUUGUCCUGGCGUUUAGCUUCUGUUGGCUGCGUUAGCCGGAAAAUCCAGUCCACCCGCUGCCAAGCGUGGAUAAAACGUUUAAUCAAGAUGUUGGUGACACUGUCACAAGGAAGAAUUCAUCAGAACUGUGGGGAUUCGACCUAUCAUUACACUCACUCAUUGACAGCCUGGACAUAGGGCAGAUUGGGAUUUUUUUGGGCAUUGAUUUUUGUGCCCAUUGCAGUUUCUAAACGGCGAGUAUUAAGCUGUUAUAAAUAUUUAUAAGACUAAUGGCAAACUCACCUGCGAUUAUAUCCAGGGCAGUGAGACAAAUCACCGGAAAGAUGUUAAUGGGAGUCAUGCCGUCGGCGCGCGACUGAAGCUGCUCCACCAUUACGGCGCUUUGUUGGUCGAAUAUCUCGACGAACUGUUCCAAAAUCUUGAAGUGGAAGGUGGGCGUGAUGAUCUUUCUGCGUCCAUGCCACUUCCUGCCCGUGCUCAUCAGCAAUCCAUCGCCCAGCCAGCAGUUAAGUAGCUUGUACAGAUUAUUCUUGGUUAUAUGCUGCUGGCUGCUCAAGACGAACUCAAUGUCUCGGGGAUCCGUGGAGAAGACGGCCAACUGGUGGAGAAUCCACACCCUGUAAAGGCGACCGUACUUGCGCUGGUUCUUCUUGACAAAGUCCAUUAUUUCUGCAGAUUAUUAUUGGGAAUGAUUAUGGAUUGCAAUAGAUUUGGCCAGAUAACAAACUGUAUCGAUGGGCUGGAACUCAAACUCACGUUCAGGAUCUAGACCGCGAUACAUGAGCAGGUUGCCCAGGAAGGGAAGUGGCCGCGGACCCGGCAAUAUACCAUUGCCCCGCCUGCGCCAGAGGAAAUCCCACAGCAGCAGUGUGGCGAACGCCACCAGGAGGAGCACCCCAACAACACCCAGCAUUGUGCGUCGAACGAGAAACGCCGUUCUACUGAACGAUACUAUAAAUAAUAUAAGCUUCGUAAUCUGAAUACUAAUACGCUAGCUGAAAGCUGAAAGCUGUAAGAGAGUCUGCUGUCUAAGAGAACUAAACCGCCUCAGGUAAUCUGCAUUCUGCAGCGGGCAGCUGGAGGUAAGAAAAUCGGACGAACCAUUUACGAAUGGAGUUUAUAGCCUUGUCACGAUGACGCACAAUCAUUUUGUUGAGAGGUAAUGCUUAGUUGGGUAAUUUAAGCUAAUGCCUAACCAUCGUGGGUGGUAUAACGAAUUGGAGCUAGCCCGUUUUCAUUAUAUGGUAAAUUGGGAACUUGUAAACAAGUUCUAUCAGAACAUUUGAAAGGGGUAUUUAAGUGAUAUACCCUGCUAUUUCCAAUUUAUCAUCAUGAAUUGUACAUAUGCCCGUUUAUUUACUGAAUAACAGUAGCUAAAUCCAUAUCCUCUUAUCACUAAGCGAACAGUGUCAAAGGUGAAGGUGAAGGUGAACUAGCCUAUCGAAGAUAUCGUAAAUUUGUGAUUCACGUUCCCAGAUUCAUUGCCCCCACUUAUAUACUAUUAAAAAGAGUGCAAGUUUAAGAAUUUGCUUAGUAAUGAUUACCAGGCAGUUGAGAGCCCUUAUCAAUUUCACUCGUCAUGCUUACCCUUAGAUUGGAGGUAAACAUUGGAUCUCAUACUGCAGUGGACAAGCCAUAAAGAUAUCAACUCAAAAUAUCUGUUAACAAUUUGAAUAAAUAGUUAGUUGAAGUCAUCAAUGAAACCAUCGAUUUGAUAUAAUAACUCAGAUAUUAUGUGUACAAGUUUAAUAUCAAUCACAUUUGUACCCGCUUGUCGGUUCGAGAGGUACACUAUAUAGAUUUUUCUAGUUUGACCUGUUAUGGAUGGAACAGCUUCCCAGCGAUGCUCUGAGUUUUCCAUCUAACUUUGUAGAUUUAAGAGAGCUGGGAUCAACGGCAGUUUAAUGCUGUGCAUAUUGUGCUGCAUAGUUUUCAGCUUGUAAGUAGAAUCGAAUUUAGAAGAUCAAUUUGAAAUCAAUAAUAAUAAACAAUUAUCUCAGCAU
ensembl:ncRNA asRNA:CR44690 antisense RNA:CR44690